rnacentral:rRNA from 1 species
AUGGAGGGCCUUCAAAAAUCGGUGGAGGGGAUUUUGGCGAAAUUUGAUGUGAUGACGACCGAGGUGAAGGCGAUUGGGAAGGACGUCAGUGAUUUGCGCCAGCAGAUCAACGACUUCGGCGAGGAUUUGGACGGUGUCAAGCGCCACCUCGGCGAAUCGACCAAGUCUAUGCCGUCGCUCGCGGCGCAUGCCUCGGGACCUCCGCUCGUCAUCCCCAUCGCUAGCAAGACUCCGUUACUGGCCAACAGCGGCGGCGCUCCGCUACUGAAUACACCACAACAGUCGCGUGCAUAUGUCGCUGCACCGCCCUCACUACAACACCAGGAGAUGCCAGAGUAUGAUGGAUACAGUGGAUACACUGCUCGUCCUCCUCGCAUGGAUUUUCCUAAAUUUCAAGGGGAGGCACCACAGUUGUGGAUUGACAUGUGCUUGACAUAUUUUGAGCUCUAUAAGACACCAGCGCAUCAUUGA